rnacentral:rRNA from 1 species
GGUUAAGCGACUAAGCGUACACGGUGGAUGCCCUGGCAGUCAGAGGCGAUGAAGGACGUGCUAAUCUGCGAUAAGCGUCGGUAAGGUGAUAUGAACCGUUAUAACCGGCGAUUUCCGAAUGGGGAAACCCAGUGUGUUUCGACACACUAUCAUUAACUGAAUCCAUAGGUUAAUGAGGCGAACCGGGGGAACUGAAACAUCUAAGUACCCCGAGGAAAAGAAAUCAACCGAGAUUCCCCCAGUAGCGGCGAGCGAACGGGGAGGAGCCCAGAGCCUGAAUCAGUGUGUGUGUUAGUGGAAGCGUCUGGAAAGGCGCGCGAUACAGGGUGACAGCCCCGUACACAAAAAUGCACAUGCUGUGAGCUCGAUGAGUAGGGCGGGACACGUGGUAUCCUGUCUGAAUAUGGGGGGACCAUCCUCCAAGGCUAAAUACUCCUGACUGACCGAUAGUGAACCAGUACCGUGAGGGAAAGGCGAAAAGAACCCCGGCGAGGGGAGUGAAAAAGAACCUGAAACCGUGUACGUACAAGCAGUGGGAGCCUCUUAAUGGGGUGACUGCGUACCUUUUGUAUAAUGGGUCAGCGACUUAUAUUCUGUAGCAAGGUUAACCGAAUAGGGGAGCCGAAGGGAAACCGAGUCUUAACUGGGCGUUAAGUUGCAGGGUAUAGACCCGAAACCCGGUGAUCUAGCCAUGGGCAGGUUGAAGGUUGGGUAACACUAACUGGAGGACCGAACCGACUAAUGUUGAAAAAUUAGCGGAUGACUUGUGGCUGGGGGUGAAAGGCCAAUCAAACCGGGAGAUAGCUGGUUCUCCCCGAAAGCUAUUUAGGUAGCGCCUCGUGAAUUCAUCUCCGGGGGUAGAGCACUGUUUCGGCAAGGGGGUCAUCCCGACUUACCAACCCGAUGCAAACUGCGAAUACCGGAGAAUGUUAUCACGGGAGACACACGGCGGGUGCUAACGUCCGUCGUGAAGAGGGAAACAACCCAGACCGCCAGCUAAGGUCCCAAAGUCAUGGUUAAGUGGGAAACGAUGUGGGAAGGCCCAGACAGCCAGGAUGUUGGCUUAGAAGCAGCCAUCAUUUAAAGAAAGCGUAAUAGCUCACUGGUCGAGUCGGCCUGCGCGGAAGAUGUAACGGGGCUAAACCAUGCACCGAAGCUGCGGCAGCGACACUAUGUGUUGUUGGGUAGGGGAGCGUUCUGUAAGCCUGUGAAGGUGUACUGUGAGGUAUGCUGGAGGUAUCAGAAGUGCGAAUGCUGACAUAAGUAACGAUAAAGCGGGUGAAAAGCCCGCUCGCCGGAAGACCAAGGGUUCCUGUCCAACGUUAAUCGGGGCAGGGUGAGUCGACCCCUAAGGCGAGGCCGAAAGGCGUAGUCGAUGGGAAACAGGUUAAUAUUCCUGUACUUGGUGUUACUGCGAAGGGGGGACGGAGAAGGCUAUGUUGGCCGGGCGACGGUUGUCCCGGUUUAAGCGUGUAGGCUGGUUUUCCAGGCAAAUCCGGAAAAUCAAGGCUGAGGCGUGAUGACGAGGCACUACGGUGCUGAAGCAACAAAUGCCCUGCUUCCAGGAAAAGCCUCUAAGCAUCAGGUAACAUCAAAUCGUACCCCAAACCGACACAGGUGGUCAGGUAGAGAAUACCAAGGCGCUUGAGAGAACUCGGGUGAAGGAACUAGGCAAAAUGGUGCCGUAACUUCGGGAGAAGGCACGCUGAUAUGUAGGUGAAGUCCCUCGCGGAUGGAGCUGAAAUCAGUCGAAGAUACCAGCUGGCUGCAACUGUUUAUUAAAAACACAGCACUGUGCAAACACGAAAGUGGACGUAUACGGUGUGACGCCUGCCCGGUGCCGGAAGGUUAAUUGAUGGGGUUAGCGGUAACGCGAAGCUCUUGAUCGAAGCCCCGGUAAACGGCGGCCGUAACUAUAACGGUCCUAAGGUAGCGAAAUUCCUUGUCGGGUAAGUUCCGACCUGCACGAAUGGCGUAAUGAUGGCCAGGCUGUCUCCACCCGAGACUCAGUGAAAUUGAACUCGCUGUGAAGAUGCAGUGUACCCGCGGCAAGACGGAAAGACCCCGUGAACCUUUACUAUAGCUUGACACUGAACAUUGAGCCUUGAUGUGUAGGAUAGGUGGGAGGCUUUGAAGUGUGGACGCCAGUCUGCAUGGAGCCGGCCUUGAAAUACCACCCUUUAAUGUUUGAUGUUCUAACGUUGGCCCCUGACCGGGGUUGCGGACAGUGUCUGGUGGGUAGUUUGACUGGGGCGGUCUCCUCCUAAAGAGUAACGGAGGAGCACGAAGGUUGGCUAAUCCUGGUCGGACAUCAGGAGGUUAGUGCAAUGGCAUAAGCCAGCUUGACUGCGAGCGUGACGGCGCGAGCAGGUGCGAAAGCAGGUCAUAGUGAUCCGGUGGUUCUGAAUGGAAGGGCCAUCGCUCAACGGAUAAAAGGUACUCCGGGGAUAACAGGCUGAUACCGCCCAAGAGUUCAUAUCGACGGCGGUGUUUGGCACCUCGAUGUCGGCUCAUCACAUCCUGGGGCUGAAGUAGGUCCCAAGGGUAUGGCUGUUCGCCAUUUAAAGUGGUACGCGAGCUGGGUUUAGAACGUCGUGAGACAGUUCGGUCCCUAUCUGCCGUGGGCGCUGGAGAACUGAGGGGGGCUGCUCCUAGUACGAGAGGACCGGAGUGGACGCAUCACUGGUGUUCGGGUUGUCAUGCCAAUGGCACUGCCCGGUAGCUAAAUGCGGAAGAGAUAAGUGCUGAAAGCAUCUAAGCACGAAACUUGCCCCGAGAUGAGUUCUCCCUGACUCCUUGAGAGUCCUGAAGGAACGUUGAAGACGACGACGUUGAUAGGCCGGGUGUGUAAGCGCAGCGAUGCGUUGAGCUAACCGGUACUAAUGAACCGUGAGGCUUAACCUU